rnacentral:rRNA from 1 species
CGUGGGUGAUGAAGGCCUUCGGGUUGUAACCCCUUUCAACGGGGACGAUGAUGACGGUACCCGGCGAAGAAGCACCGGCUAACUCCGUGCCAGCAGCCGCGGUAAGACGGAGGGUGCUAGCGUUGUUCGGAAUCACUGGGCGUAAAGGGCGCGUAGGCGGCCGUGUUGUCGGCUGUGAAACCCCCGGGCUCCCCCCCCGGAGGGCCCUCCAACCCCCCGGCUUGAAGGCGGAAAAAGAAGGGGGAAUUCCCCUUGUGGAGGUGAAAUUUCUUGAUUUUUGGUGGAAACCCCGUGGGGAAAGGGGGUCUUCGGUCCGGGACUGAACCUUAAGCGCGAAAACCUUGGGAGGCAAACGGAU